rnacentral:rRNA from 1 species
GGCGAGUGAAGAGGGAAGAGCCCAAGAUUGAAAGCUGGCGUCUUCGGCGUCCGCAUUGUAAUCUCAAGAAGUGUUUUCCGCUUCGGACCAUGCCUAAGUCCCUUGGAAAAGGGCAUCAUAGAGGGUGAUAAUCCCGUACAUGGCAUGGAGCGCCCGAAGCUUUGUGAUACGCUUUCUAAGAGUCGAGUUGUUUGGGAAUGCAGCUCAAAAUGGGUGGUAAAUGCCAUCUAAGGCUAAAUAUUGGGGAGAGACCGAUAGCGAACAAGUACAGUGAUGGAAAGAUGAAAAGAACUUUGAAAAGAGAGUUAAACAGUACGUGAAAUUGCCAAAAGGGAAGGGUAGGAGGUCAGAGAUGCGGCCUGGGAUUCAGCCUUGCUUUUGCUUGGUGUUUUUCCCAGAUUGCAGGCCAACGUCGGUUUUGGGCACUGGAGAAGGGUAGGAGGAACGUGGCACCUCUCGGGGUGUGUUAUAGCCUCCUACUGGAUACAGCGACCGAGACCGAGGACAGCAGCGUACUCGCAAGAGCGGGCCUUCGGGCACCUUUACGCUUAGGGCGUUGGCAUAAUGGCCCUCUACCACCCGUCUUGAACCACGGGAC